GGUCAUCAACCGGCUCCAGAGGACACUCCUGCACACCUUCCGUAUGCACGUGCAGGACUUCCUGCAGGAGAAGGUGCACUCCCUGAUCCAGGAGGAGCUCAACAAGUUCAGCCUCGGUGACAUCACUAUGCUGGACAUCCUGGCAUGACGGCAGCCUCCGGGGGUCGCCUCGCAGGCAGCCGCGUCGCACGCCUGAAGAGGUCACCGCCGGAGGGCACCACUUUCCCGGGGAGAGCAGAACGGACCAAUGGGAGACGACGCUGUGCGCUCGGACACAAGCUCCCUAACAGAACUCGAAAGCGGCGCAGUUGUGACGUGACCAACGCGAAAAGACAGAGCGGGCGAACCCAUUGUAAACCGCCGCGGAAUAUCGUCCGCCAAUCGGAGGACUGGGUUCACGUGACGUCACACUGGCGCAUUGGUGGCAGACCCAGACUUUGCUACCCUCUCGAACAUGACCCGUGUUGAGGUGGCGCAAGAGGCGUGCGACGGUCGAGGGGGACCGGACCUUCGAGCUCGACGCGACCAUGUGACGCACCGUGACGAGGCACGUGACCUGUGAAGCGUGCAGGCGGUCUGGAGUGCCGAUUGAGGCUUCGCCAUAUCAUGCAGCGAUACGAUGACGACCGGAUGAGCGGGGGAGUUAUGCACUUCUGACAGCAUGUUAUGCUCAGUACUGCAAGCACCUCUAAUCGUGUUGCGAUUUCUGGAAACAAGCGGAAGAACAACGCCUUAGUACCUGCGGCUGCGUCGCUUUCUCACUACAAGUUAAUUCGCUGGGACUGUACGUUUGUUUCCAAAGCUGGAUAUCGUGUUCAGUGUAUAGGUGCAGGUCACGUUAUUUCACACAGCAUUCGUAUACAUAGAUGCUUCUUU